rnacentral:rRNA from 1 species
GUGGGGAAUCUUGCGCAAUGGGCGAAAGCCUGACGCAGCCAUGCCGCGUGAAUGAUGAAGGUCUUAGGAUUGUAAAAUUCUUUCACCGGGGACGAUAAUGACGGUACCCGGAGAAGAAGCCCCGGCUAACUUCGUGCCAGCAGCCGCGGUAAUACGAAGGGGGCUAGCGUUGCUCGGAAUUACUGGGCGUAAAGGGCGCGGAGGCGGACAGUUUAGUCAGAGGUGAAAGCCCAGGGCUCAACCUUGGAAUUGCCUUUGAUACUGGAUGUCUUGAGUACGGAAGAGGUGAGGGGAACUCCGAGUGUAGAGGUGAAAUUCGUAGAUAUUCGGAAGAACACCAGUGGCGAAGGCGACUCACUGGCCCGUUACUGACGCUGAGGCGCGAAAGCGUGGGGAGCAAACAGGAUUAGAUACCCCUGUAGUCC